rnacentral:sRNA from 1 species
GAUACAAGGGGCAAAAGAUUAUAACUCGUUCCUGCUUGCAGGAUAAGAGUUAUAUCUUAUUGCCCCGCAACACACAUGAGGAAGUAGUGUUUUGGUCAAAAACAACGGAUUCCGAAUGUGUGUCGAAUUGCGGAAGUUGUAUAGCAACGGAGCAAUUCGU